rnacentral:lncRNA from 1 species
AAAACGAAUCAUCGAUAUUAGCGGGCGUCUGACUAUUCCCAAAUCCCUGAGUGUUAGUGUUUUGUUGUGUUCCCAAUCCAAAAUCCCCGAAGCUUGUCCAUCCUUCAUGCUCACCUGCACUGUCGUGCUCAUCCCUACACUGUUGCUGUUGGGACUCGAUAUGUGAAUAAUAUGGCUGGGAUAGGGUGGCCUCAGAAUCAUCAUCUCUCUUAUUUUCUCUUAGACCCCCUUCCCACUCUCCCUCAUUAGGUGCAAUAUCACCGACAUAUUGUGGAUACAUUGGCUGGCUGCUUCCUCUUUCAUGCUGCUCAUCACUUUCUUCAAUAUCUUCAUCACCGAUAGCCUCAAGGAACGCUCUCUUGUACAACACUGGCUCCUCCUCUUCUACUACCCAUUGGUCUGCUGUGUCUGUGACAAAUAUUGUGUCUAAGUCUAUCGGCCUAUAGUCUUCAAGCUUCCUUCUUAUUUGUCGC